UACAUGGGGUGCAAACGUUGCUCGGAAUCAUUGGGCGUAAAGCGCGCGUAGGCGGUUGCUUAAGUCGGAUGUGAAAGCCCUCGGCUUAACUGAGGAAGUGCAUCCGAAACUGAGCAGCUAGAGUACGAAAGAGGGUCGCGGAAUUCCCGGUGUAGAGGUGAAAUUCGUAGAUAUCGGGGAGGAACACCGGUGGCGAAGGCGGCGACCUGGGUCGAGACUGACGCUGAGGCGCGAAAGCGUGGGGAGCAAACAGG
rnacentral:rRNA from 1 species